UACGGAGGGUGCAAGCGUUGUCCGGAUUUAUUGGGUUUAAAGGGUGCGUAGGCGGCGUAAUAAGUCAGUGGUGAAAGCCGGCAGCUCAACUGUCGAGGUGCCAUUGAAACUGUUAUGCUUGAGUACAGACGAGGUAGGCGGAAUUUAUGAUGUAGCGGUGAAAUGCAUAGAUAUCAUAAAGAACACCGAUAGCGAAGGCAGCUUACUAGGCUGUAACUGACGCUGAGGCACGAAAGCGUGGGGAGCGAACAGG
rnacentral:rRNA from 1 species